AUCCAGCUCACGAGUCCCAAAUAGGAGGAAAUGCGCCUCCUGGAU
rnacentral:hammerhead_ribozyme from 1 species